rnacentral:rRNA from 1 species
UGCGUAGGCGGUUUGGUAAGUUGGAUGUGAAAUACCCGGGCUUAACUUGGGGGCUGCAUCCAAUACUGUCGGACUUAAGUGCAGGAGAGGAAAGCGGAAUUCCUAGUGUAGCGGUGAAAUGCGUAGAUAUUAGGAGGAACGCCGGUGGCGAAGGCGGCUUUCUGGACUGUAACUGACGCUGAGGCACGAAAGCGUGGGGAGGCAAAACA